rnacentral:rRNA from 1 species
UACGUAGGGGCAAGCGUUGUCCGGAAUUAUUGGGCGUAAAGCGCGCGCAGGCGGUCUCUUAAGUCUGAUGUGAAAUCUUGCGGUUCAACCGCAAGCGGUCAUUGGAAACUGGGAGACUUGAGUACAGAAGAGGAGAGUGGAAUUCCAUGUGUAGCGGUGAAAUGCGUAGAUAUAUGGAGGAACACCAGUGGCGAAGGCGACUCUCUGGUCUGUAACUGACGCUGAGGCGCGAAAGCGUGGGGAGCAAACAGG